rfam:Gossypium raimondii Chr13_contig_1326, whole genome shotgun sequence.
UGUUAAAAUUUCCAUCAAUUUGUACUAUUAAAAAUUGACGUGACUGACGGGAUAACUAGAUAAUGACACCUAGUGUGCCACAUAUACCACAUGUUGACAUAUAGAAACCAUUCUUAAUGGUAGAAAUGAAAUGAAUUUUUAACC